rnacentral:piRNA from 1 species
UCUUUUCACCACAUUUAAUUG